rnacentral:rRNA from 1 species
CCUACGGGAGGCAGCAGUAAGGAAUAUUGGACAAUGGGCGAAAGCCUGAUCCAGCCAUCCCGCGUGUAGGAUGACUGCCCUAUGGGUUGUAAACUACUUUUGCUAGGGAAGAAACCCCUGAUCUUGUAUCGGGGCUGACUGUACCUUGCGAAUAAGCACCGGCUAACUCCGUGCCAGCAGCCGCGGUAAU